rnacentral:rRNA from 1 species
AGCGUACACGGUGGAUGCCCUGGCAGUCAGAGGCGAUGAAGGACGUGCUAAUCUGCGAUAAGCGUCGGUAAGGUGAUAUGAACCGUUAUAACCGGCGAUUUCCGAAUGGGGAAACCCAGUGUGAUUCGUCACACUAUCAUUAACUGAAUCCAUAGGUUAAUGAGGCGAACCGGGGGAACUGAAACAUCUAAGUACCCCGAGGAAAAGAAAUCAACCGAGAUUCCCCCAGUAGCGGCGAGCGAACGGGGAGCAGCCCAGAGCCUGAAUCAGUGUGUGUGUUAGUGGAAGCGUCUGGAAAGGCGCGCGAUACAGGGUGACAGCCCCGUACACAAAAAUGCACAUGCUGUGAGCUCGAUGAGUAGGGCGGGACACGUGGUAUCCUGUCUGAAUAUGGGGGGACCAUCCUCCAAGGCUAAAUACUCCUGACUGACCGAUAGUGAACCAGUACCGUGAGGGAAAGGCGAAAAGAACCCCGGCGAGGGGAGUGAAAAAGAACCUGAAACCGUGUACGUACAAGCAGUGGGAGCACGCUUAGGCGUGUGACUGCGUACCUUUUGUAUAAUGGGUCAGCGACUUAUAUUCUGUAGCAAGGUUAACCGAAUAGGGGAGCCGAAGGGAAACCGAGUCUUAACUGGGCGUUAAGUUGCAGGGUAUAGACCCGAAACCCGGUGAUCUAGCCAUGGGCAGGUUGAAGGUUGGGUAACACUAACUGGAGGACCGAACCGACUAAUGUUGAAAAAUUAGCGGAUGACUUGUGGCUGGGGGUGAAAGGCCAAUCAAACCGGGAGAUAGCUGGUUCUCCCCGAAAGCUAUUUAGGUAGCGCCUCGUGAAUUCAUCUCCGGGGGUAGAGCACUGUUUCGGCAAGGGGGUCAUCCCGACUUACCAACCCGAUGCAAACUGCGAAUACCGGAGAAUGUUAUCACGGGAGACACACGGCGGGUGCUAACGUCCGUCGUGAAGAGGGAAACAACCCAGACCGCCAGCUAAGGUCCCAAAGUCAUGGUUAAGUGGGAAACGAUGUGGGAAGGCCCAGACAGCCAGGAUGUUGGCUUAGAAGCAGCCAUCAUUUAAAGAAAGCGUAAUAGCUCACUGGUCGAGUCGGCCUGCGCGGAAGAUGUAACGGGGCUAAACCAUGCACCGAAGCUGCGGCAGCGACGCUUAUGCGUUGUUGGGUAGGGGAGCGUUCUGUAAGCCUGCGAAGGUGUGCUGUGAGGCAUGCUGGAGGUAUCAGAAGUGCGAAUGCUGACAUAAGUAACGAUAAAGCGGGUGAAAAGCCCGCUCGCCGGAAGACCAAGGGUUCCUGUCCAACGUUAAUCGGGGCAGGGUGAGUCGACCCCUAAGGCGAGGCCGAAAGGCGUAGUCGAUGGGAAACAGGUUAAUAUUCCUGUACUUGGUGUUACUGCGAAGGGGGGACGGAGAAGGCUAUGUUGGCCGGGCGACGGUUGUCCCGGUUUAAGCGUGUAGGCUGGUUUUCCAGGCAAAUCCGGAAAAUCAAGGCUGAGGCGUGAUGACGAGGCACUACGGUGCUGAAGCAACAAAUGCCCUGCUUCCAGGAAAAGCCUCUAAGCAUCAGGUAACAUCAAAUCGUACCCCAAACCGACACAGGUGGUCAGGUAGAGAAUACCAAGGCGCUUGAGAGAACUCGGGUGAAGGAACUAGGCAAAAUGGUGCCGUAACUUCGGGAGAAGGCACGCUGAUAUGUAGGUGAAGCGACUUGCUCGUGGAGCUGAAAUCAGUCGAAGAUACCAGCUGGCUGCAACUGUUUAUUAAAAACACAGCACUGUGCAAACACGAAAGUGGACGUAUACGGUGUGACGCCUGCCCGGUGCCGGAAGGUUAAUUGAUGGGGUCAGCGCAAGCGAAGCUCUUGAUCGAAGCCCCGGUAAACGGCGGCCGUAACUAUAACGGUCCUAAGGUAGCGAAAUUCCUUGUCGGGUAAGUUCCGACCUGCACGAAUGGCGUAAUGAUGGCCAGGCUGUCUCCACCCGAGACUCAGUGAAAUUGAACUCGCUGUGAAGAUGCAGUGUACCCGCGGCAAGACGGAAAGACCCCGUGAACCUUUACUAUAGCUUGACACUGAACAUUGAGCCUUGAUGUGUAGGAUAGGUGGGAGGCUUGGAAGUGUGGACGCCAGUCUGCAUGGAGCCGACCUUGAAAUACCACCCUUUAAUGUUUGAUGUUCUAACGUGGACCCGUGAUCCGGGUUGCGGACAGUGUCUGGUGGGUAGUUUGACUGGGGCGGUCUCCUCCUAAAGAGUAACGGAGGAGCACGAAGGUUGGCUAAUCCUGGUCGGACAUCAGGAGGUUAGUGCAAUGGCAUAAGCCAGCUUGACUGCGAGCGUGACGGCGCGAGCAGGUGCGAAAGCAGGUCAUAGUGAUCCGGUGGUUCUGAAUGGAAGGGCCAUCGCUCAACGGAUAAAAGGUACUCCGGGGAUAACAGGCUGAUACCGCCCAAGAGUUCAUAUCGACGGCGGUGUUUGGCACCUCGAUGUCGGCUCAUCACAUCCUGGGGCUGAAGUAGGUCCCAAGGGUAUGGCUGUUCGCCAUUUAAAGUGGUACGCGAGCUGGGUUUAGAACGUCGUGAGACAGUUCGGUCCCUAUCUGCCGUGGGCGCUGGAGAACUGAGGGGGGCUGCUCCUAGUACGAGAGGACCGGAGUGGACGCAUCACUGGUGUUCGGGUUGUCAUGCCAAUGGCACUGCCCGGUAGCUAAAUGCGGAAGAGAUAAGUGCUGAAAGCAUCUAAGCACGAAACUUGCCCCGAGAUGAGUUCU